rnacentral:tRNA from 1 species
GCGCCCAUAGCUCAAUGGUAGAGCAACAGCCUUUUAAGCUGAUGGUUCUGGGUUCGAGCCCCGGUGGGCGCA